UUCAUUGCAAGUAGCGCCAAACGAAUCACAAAUACUCAUUGUAACAUGACCGACUCCACAUGUUUCAAUAAAUUACCGUUAUUAACACUGAAAAUCUAAACCUGUACCGGUGUCACAGGAGAAUAAAAUCACCGGUUAAAGAGUGUCGAAAGUCUUCCUUUUUUAUUAAAACCCCCGACCCUAGUCACGUGAUGCUACGUUGAGCGGAAAUGACAGGGGUUCCUUCUAAGUGUGGGUUGAGUCCUAUAAAUGACAGAGGUUCCUUCUAAGUGUGGGUUGAGUCCUAUAAAUUACAAGGCAUUUUCCCUCCUCAUUCAUUACUUGUUUGGCAACAUUUGAGGAACUGAGGUCUUCCUGAAGAAAAGCAAGCAAAGAUGCCCCGACAACUUUACACAGCUCUGUUCUUAGUCCUCGUCGCACUACUUUUAAGCUCAACACCGGAAGUCUCCGCCAAAAGUUCGUGUUCCUACGCCUGCAUGAAGACCCUAUUUUCGUGCAAGCGGCGAAGUGAGGGGGAUUGUUGUAACAAAUUCACGGAAUGUUUCCACACCUGUGAUCUUGCUGCACCCCCGUGUGCUGGAAAGCGCGGGAGUUGGAACAAGCGAUACCAGGUCUCCCAGGGUUACGAGGACCGGGAGCUUUACCCUUACUAUUAAACCUUGACCUUCAGCAUUAGUGAACAGCUGCUAUAACACAACAGAUCAAAUAAAAAUGCAUCACUCAUUGGAGACAGUGAACCUAGGAAAACUCGCACCGUACACAUUAUCUGUUUAUAUAUUUUUUUCUUGAUGAAGAGUUGCAAUGAUCACUAUUCAAAGCCUUGCUUUAAGUAUCAUACCAUUUCUUUACCAAGCACUAUUCUUCAAAAGAAUUAAAUUUCUAUCACUUCAUGUUAGGAACUCCACUACUACCAUCACAGCAUGUACUGUGUAUUUUCAGUUCUUCAGUGAAUAAA